UUAUAUAAAUUUAUGUGUUUUGUUUACCUCAAUUUUUUUUUAACUCCAAAAUCAAAUUCCCCAAUUCUUAUUAAACCCUAAAUUACCAAAUAAAAAUAUGAGAUGAUAAAUAUGAGUUUUCAUCGACCCAAAAAAUCUUAAAAUUGAAAUCAACCCAAAAUAUGUUCUGGGUUUUAACACUUCCAAUUCUCACCGUGUUUUCUACUACGAUGUUGCUUUAUUCCUAUCAAAUCUCACAAAGCUUGGAUUUUUAUUUACCACCAAUUUUAAAGAACCACCCUUAAAAUUAAAUCAAGAAAAAAAUGAAGAACAAAACUUUAAAGAAAUUGUGGAAAAGAGCUUUAAAGAAAUCAAGAAAAAAAAAUGAAGAACAGAACUUUAAAGAAC
rnacentral:lncRNA from 1 species